rnacentral:tRNA from 1 species
AAAAACUUAGGUUAACCAAACCAAGGACCUUCAAAGUCCUAAAUAAAGAUAUAAACCUCCUUAGUUUUUG